GGGACACGUGGUAUCCUGUCUGAAUAUGGGGGGACCAUCCUCCAAGGCUAAAUACUCCUGACUGACCGAUAGUGAACCAGUACCGUGAGGGAAAGGCGAAAAGAACCCCGGCGAGGGGAGUGAAAAAGAACCUGAAACCGUGUACGUACAAGCAGUGGGAGCCCCACCACUAAGCCAGUGGUGAACUCCACAUACGCAUCCUUUGCUGAGGAUACGGUUAACGGAGCGCAAGCGACGUUCAACCGCAAAAGAAGCAGAGGGGGCUUAGUGGUGGGGUGACUGCGUACCUUUUGUAUAAUGGGUCAGCGACUUAUAUUCUGUAGCAAGGUUAACCGAAUAGGGGAGCCGGAGGGAAACCGAGUCUUAAUUGGGCGUUAAGUUGCAGGGUAUAGACCCGAAACCCGGUGAUCUAGCCAUGGGCAGGUUGAAGGUUGGGUAACACUAACUGGAGGACCGAACCGACUAAUGUUGAAAAAUUAGCGGAUGACCUGUGGCUGGGGGUGAAAGGCCAAUCAAACCGGGAGAUAGCUGGUUCUCCCCGAAAGCUAUUUAGGUAGCGCCUCGUGAAUUCAUCUCCGGGGGUAGAGCACUGUUUCGGCUAGGGGGCCAUCCCGGCUUACCAACCCGAUGCAAACUGCGAAUACCGGAGAAUGUUAUCACGGGAGACACACGGCGGGUGCUAACGUCCGUCGUGAAGAGGGAAACAACCCAGACCGCCAGCUAAGGUCCCAAAGUCAUGGUUAAGUGGGAAACGAUGUGGGAAGGCCCAGACAGCCAGGAUGUUGGCUUAGAAGCAGCCAUCAUUUAAAGAAAGCGUAAUAGCUCACUGGUCGAGUCGGCCUGCGCGGAAGAUGUAACGGGGCUAAACCAUGCACCGAAGCUGCGGCAGCGACGCUGAUGCGUUGUUGGGUAGGGGAGCGUUCUGUAAGCCUGCGAAGGUGGCCUGUGAGGGUUGCUGGAGGUAUCAGAAGUGCGAAUGCUGACAUAAGUAACGAUAAAGCGGGUGAAAAGCCCGCUCGCCGGAAGACCAAGGGUUCCUGUCCAACGUUAAUCGGGGCAGGGUGAGUCGACCCCUAAGGCGAGGCCGAAAGGCGUAGUCGAUGGGAAACGGGUUAAUAUUCCCGUACUUGGUGUUACUGCGAAGGGGGGACGGAGAAGGCUAUGUUGGCCGGGCGACGGUUGUCCCGGUUUAAGCGUGUAGGUGUGUGUUCCAGGUAAAUCCGGUUCACUUUAACACUGAGGCGUGAUGACGAGGCACUACGGUGCUGAAGCAACAAAUGCCCUGCUUCCAGGAAAAGCCUCUAAGCAUCAGGUAACAUCAAAUCGUACCCCAAACCGACACAGGUGGUCAGGUAGAGAAUACCAAGGCGCUUGAGAGAACUCGGGUGAAGGAACUAGGCAAAAUGGUGCCGUAACUUCGGGAGAAGGCACGCUGACACGUAGGUGAAGUGAUUUACUCAUGGAGCUGAAGUCAGUCGAAGAUACCAGCUGGCUGCAACUGUUUAUUAAAAACACAGCACUGUGCAAACACGAAAGUGGACGUAUACGGUGUGACGCCUGCCCGGUGCCGGAAGGUUAAUUGAUGGGGUCAGCGCAAGCGAAGCUCCUGAUCGAAGCCCCGGUAAACGGCGGCCGUAACUAUAACGGUCCUAAGGUAGCGAAAUUCCUUGUCGGGUAAGUUCCGACCUGCACGAAUGGCGUAAUGAUGGCCAGGCUGUCUCCACCCGAGACUCAGUGAAAUUGAACUCGCUGUGAAGAUGCAGUGUACCCGCGGCAAGACGGAAAGACCCCGUGAACCUUUACUAUAGCUUGACACUGAACAUUGAGCCUUGAUGUGUAGGAUAGGUGGGAGGCUUUGAAGUGUGGACGCCAGUCUGCAUGGAGCCGACCUUGAAAUACCACCCUUUAAUGUUUGAUGUUCUAACGUGGACCCGUGAUCCGGGUUGCGGACAGUGUCUGGUGGGUAGUUUGACUGGGGCGGUCUCCUCCUAAAGAGUAACGGAGGAGCACGAAGGUUGGCUAAUCCUGGUCGGACAUCAGGAGGUUAGUGCAAUGGCAUAAGCCAGCUUGACUGCGAGCGUGACGGCGCGAGCAGGUGCGAAAGCAGGUCAUAGUGAUCCGGUGGUUCUGAAUGGAAGGGCCAUCGCUCAACGGAUAAAAGGUACUCCGGGGAUAACAGGCUGAUACCGCCCAAGAGUUCAUAUCGACGGCGGUGUUUGGCACCUCGAUGUCGGCUCAUCACAUCCUGGGGCUGAAGUAGGUCCCAAGGGUAUGGCUGUUCGCCAUUUAAAGUGGUACGCGAGCUGGGUUUAGAACGUCGUGAGACAGUUCGGUCCCUAUCUGCCGUGGGCGCUGGAGAACUGAGGGGGGCUGCUCCUAGUACGAGAGGACCGGAGUGGACGCAUCACUGGUGUUCGGGUUGUCAUGCCAAUGGCACUGCCCGGUAGCUAAAUGCGGAAGAGAUAAGUGCUGAAAGCAUCUAAGCACGAAACUUGCCCCGA
rnacentral:rRNA from 1 species